rnacentral:tRNA from 2 species
GCGCCCUUAGCUCAAUCGGCAGAGCACCUCAUUUACACUGAGGGGGUUGCAGGUUCAAGUCCUGCAGGGCGCA